rnacentral:rRNA from 1 species
GAUGAACGCUGGCGGCGUGCUUAACACAUGCAAGUCGAACGGUGAAGCAGGAGCUUGCUCUUGUGGAUCAGUGGCGAACGGGUGAGUAACACGUGAGCAACCUGCCCCUGACUCUGGGAUAAGCGCUGGAAACGGCGUCUAAUACUGGAUAUGUGAUGUGACCGCAUGGUCUGCAUCUGGAAAGAAUUUCGGUUGGGGAUGGGCUCGCGGCCUAUCAGCUUGUUGGUGAGGGAAUGGCUCACCAAGGCGUCGACGGGUAGCCGGCCUGAGAGGGUAACGGGCCACACUGGGACGGAGACACGGCUCAGACUCCUACGGGAGGCAGCAGUGGGGAAUAUUGCACAAUGGGCGGAAGCCUGAUGCAGCAACGCCGCGUGAGGGAUGACGGCCUUCGGGUUGUAAACCUCUUUUAGCAGGGAAGAAGCGAAAGUGACGGUACCUGCAGAAAAAGCACCGGCUAACUACGUGCCAGCCGCCGCGGUAA